rnacentral:lncRNA from 1 species
GGGAGACCGUGGGCGGAGGUGAUACAACCUGACUGAUGAUGGCUGACAAAAAAGGAAGAAAGUAGCUGAGAACCAGCAGCUGAAGAAAGCAAGAAAAUCUGAAUGAAGUCACAAAUGUCACCAAGGAAAGGCAGAACAGAAAAAUAACUUGAAUAUUCAAGAUGGACACAUCAAGCCUUGUGAAGAGGUGACUCCGAGGCUCGGAUGCUGCCCAAGCCAACCAGAGUUUACCAGGUUCCAAGAAUGACCUUGAAUUCCAGAUCCUUCUGCUCUCAUCAUCUGAGUGCUGGGUUACAGUUGUGUGUCGUCAUACCUGCCUCUCACCUGGGUCUUUGAAACAAAAGAGGGAAGAGAAAGAAAGAAAGAAAGAAAGAAAGAA